GAUGAACGCUAGCUACAGGCUUAACACAUGCAAGUCGAGGGGCAGCAUGACGAUAGCUUGCUAUUGUCGAUGGCGACCGGCGCACGGGUGAGUAACGCGUAUCCAACCUUCCCCAUAGUAGGGCAUAGCCCGUAGAAAUGCGGAUUAAUGCCCUAUGUUCUCCUUUGCGGGCAUCUAACGAGGAGCAAAGAUUCAUCGGUAAGGGAUGGGGAUGCGUCUGAUUAGCCAGUUGGCGGGGUAACGGCCCACCAAGGCGACGAUCAGUAGGGGUUCUGAGAGGAAGGUCCCCCACAUUGGUACUGAGACACGGACCAAACUCC
rnacentral:rRNA from 1 species